CGCUACUGUUGAAGAGAGACAGUUAAGCCUAGGGCUGUGGCUUUUUCCCUCUGGGUGGAUGUGAGGAGAAUUAGCUUUUCCUUGUGCCAUUUGAUAGCUUAUUCAUCACAUCUUACUGUUGUUUGGAUUAUCCUGUAUCUGUUGGCCUUUUGACAUCUACUGAGCUCCUGUACUGUGACAACUAACAGCUGAUUUGCCAAGGAGCCAUGGUUAGUCUGUAUCGCAGUGAACAUUUGGAUGCUAAGCUUCUGAGUUCCCUGCCGUUUUCCAAGUGAAAAGAGAGUUGAAGAUUGUGGAGAGAUCGUGACUUACUAGAGGAUUCUCGCCCCUUAGUCCACUAGAGCUGAGAUGGCUAGCUUAUAGUCCUGGGGAAAUCGUAGUAAGAAGCAAUGGUUGUCAGGGAUUGUCAUUCCCAGCAGCCAUCAGUAGCCACCACAGGAGCAGCAAGGAGCAAAUAUGCAUCAAGAAAAACAUCACACUGGCCAGUCCUGAAACCCUAUAAUGGUGGUUUUGUGGUAGUCGAGGUAGGAGCCCUUGUAUGGGUGUGCCUUGAUGUCUUUGUUCAGGACUGAUUGUGUUCUCUUGUGACUAUAGAAAAUUUAUUUUUAAUUAGUAAAGACUCAUGAAUGAUGGUUUUGAGGGGGUGACAGUUCUUGGAGUACCUUUAAUCUUGGGGAGCUAAACUGAGAGUCCACUUCUGAGUAGGGACAGCUUCAGGUACUGUAUUAAUGAUGUCAAAUUUACUAAAAAUCAAGUGCUCAAGUAGCUCUUAUUUCAUCAAGGCAAAUGUAUCCUGCAAUGACAUAGAGAGCAACCCAUCUGAGUCUGCCUAACCUACAGGAAUCUUAUCUAGAUCCUUCCAUGAACAUGCUUCCAGUGACUGACCCACUUCAUUUUCAUUAAUGAUUUCAUUUCAGUCAUGUACAGGAUCUGUCCUCAAGUUAUCUCCUCACUCUCACCAGGUAACCCCCUUUGUAGAAGGUAGCUAGAGUAGGUGCAAUGUCUAGAGUACUGGACCAGGAGCCAGGAAGACCUGAGUUCCAGUCCUACCUUAUACACAUGCUAGCUGCAUUACCUUCAGAACUUAAACCUUUGCCUCAGUUUCCCAACUGUAAAACAGGAAUAAUAAUAGCACUUAUCUCCCAUUGUUGUGAGAAUCAAAGGAGAUAUUUGUAAAGUAUUUAGCACAGUGCCUGGCAUACAGUAGGUACUAUAUAAAUGACACUUAUUAUUAUUAUUAUUAUUCUAUCAUACAUCACACAUUAUUUGAUGACAUUCUUUGUCCUGUUUCUUUCCCAUGGUUCAUUAUCCAUUACAUGUUAUAAAAGUUUUUAUUUUGUAUUGUUCACAUAUAUAAUUAAUUUCAUCAGUGAGGAUGUCUUCUAGAUAAGGAAAUUGCUCCUAUAAACAUAAAGUAACUAUAACACAUCUGAUAAUCUUAGAGAAUUGCCUGGGGCACUUAGAGGUUGAGAGAUUGGCCCUGGGUCUUAGAUGAGAGUUAGAACUUAAAGCUAGGUUCUUCUGACUCUAAGGCUAAAUCCUUCUCUUCUAUGUCAUGCUAUAGUGAGAAAGAAAGAAAGAAAGAAAGAAAGAAAGAAAGAAAGAAAGAAAGAAAGAAAGAAAGAAAGAAAGAAAGAAAGAAAGAAAGAAAGAAAGAAAGAAAGAAAGAAAGAAAGAAAGAAAGAAAGAAAGAAAGAAAGAAAGAAAGAAAGAAAGAAAGAAAAAGAAAGAAAGAAAGAAAGAAAGAAAGAAAGAGAGAGAAAGAGAGAGAAAGAAACAAAGAAAAACAGAGAAACAAAGAGAGAAAGAAAGAAUGAGAGACAGAGAAAGAAAGAGGGAAAGAAAGAGAAAGAAAGAGAGUGAAAAGAAGGAAAGAAAGAGAGAGAAAAGAAGGAAGGAAGGAAGGAAGGAAGGAAGGAAGGAAGGAAGGAAGGAAGGAAGGAAGGAAGGAAGGAAGGAAGGAAGGAAGGAAGGAGCAUUAUUAAUUGCCUAAUAUGUUCUAGGCACUGUCUUAGGUUCUAAGAAUAUAAAUACAAAAGUGAGAUGAUCCCUGCCCCAUAGAGCUUAUAUUCUAACAGAGAAAUCAAACAGUAUGUUAGAAGAGUAGUAGACAGGGGAGUGUCAAAGGAGGAAAUUCAAUCCUGGUCUAAGUCCAAGUCCAAUACACUAUCUGCUAUGUUGUGCUACUUAUAAUAAGCAAUGGAUGAAAGCAGCAAAAUGUCAAGUUUAGGACAGAUCUAAGGAUGAAUUUCCUAAGAAUUAAAGCUAUCCCAAAGUGGAAUGAGCUCUCUCUCUCCACUGUAGUUCAUCAAGCAGAAGUGAUUGGUCACCUGUCAGGUAAACUAGAGGGGAUAUUUGUUCAGCCACAAACUGGAAUGGAAGGUUCCUAAGAUCCAGCCUAAAAUUCCAUGAAAAUUCAUUUAUCAACUCAGGGAUUGAUUGUCAGGGCUAUGGUAAGUAAUACACAUACACGUGAGCAAUUUUUCCCCAUCCCUAUCUCCUCUAUUAUUAAAUAACAUGAUUGGAGUUCAUGUGCAUUUUCUUUUGAUUUAGAAGAAUUUGUUUUCCUUUCCAAGGAAAAACAGUCCACAGUUUUAUUAUACUGUUUAGCAAGAAAAGAGAACAUUGACGUUAGGUGUGAGUUAAGUGGAAUUGUAGCUCCAAUUGUGAGUGUUAAUUGAGUCUCCUUGUUAAUAGUAUCAGCUCUCAUGGCACAGUCACUGGAUGAGCUUGAAAACAAAAGGAUUGUAGAAUUCAAAACAGUCACAACUGUAGCAGACAAGCAUUAGGCUUGCUAGUUAGCACAGUAGUGUUUGUAGAGUACAAUGAGAGUGAGCAGUAAUCAAGGAAGUGAUGAAAUUUAAAUGUUCAGCAAUUUAUAAUCCUGAAAGAAUUUGGGACCUGAAGAGAGAAUGUAAAAUUAAAUAUUCAUGCAAUUCCUCUUUUAAAGUCCCCCUGAAGAUGACUCAACUAUGAAUACUAUGAAAUUGACUCUGACUCCUUGACAUACAUUCCAAGGAAAUGAGUUCUGUCAGAUCCCACCAAUCUAUAGAAACUUCAAGUUCAAGCCUGGCACUAAAUUAUGUGCCUAUUAUUAAAAAACUAAUCUAGUACAUUAAGUUGUAAAAAAAAAAAUUGUGGCAGAGCUUUUUGUGGUAGAAAAGAAUUAGAAAUCCAGGGGAUGCCCAUCAAUUGGGGAAUGGCCAAACAAGUCAUGGUAUAUGAUUGUGAUGGAAUACUAUUGUGCUAUAAGAAAGGACGAACUGGAUAGCUUCAGAAAAAUCUGUGAAGAUUUGUGUGAACUAACUCAGAGUAAAAUAAGUGUAACUAGGAGGCCACUGGACUCAGGAACAGCGAUAUUGAAGCAAGACCGUGCUAAAGGACUCAUGAUUAAACCUCAUUCUGACAAGGCUUCAUUAGAUGGCAAAAGAGGACCAUGACAGAAAAAGUAAAGUCCCCUUCCUCUAAGCCUUUGUGACAAACAAUGUGCCAAAAGGACUAUUGCUUCUGUGUACACGAGCUGAAGCUUUAGGGAUGGCUUGGGAAAUCGUGUUCAUGUUUCUAAGAGAAAAGAAAAGGCAAACAAGGAAGUCACUGAUAUUUCUGCUCCAGGAAGCAAGUGAAGUAAGGAAUAAGACCUUGAGGGCUGGGGGGGUCAUGACCAUGGCUGAGACCUAACUGACACAAGUGAGACAGUAGGUGAUAUAUUUAAUCAGUCAUAUAAAUUGAUACAUGACUAUGUCCUGAAAAGAAUCAAAUAGGGUCAAAGGAAACCAGAGGUCAGACUUGUUGUCCUGGCAGAGACAGGGAUUGUGGAGAUUUAUGAUUAAAAAUGAAUUCCACUUUUAUUGCUGGAAAUUUGUUUGGUGGUUGCAAAGCACAUCUUUUGAGGGGUCCUAUAUGUUCUUUUAAAAUUAAAUCAAUUCACACGAAAAGGGAGGCUCCCACUUCUUUUGGGGACUGGUCACUGCCUGAGAGAGGA